ACAAAUUCGUGCCAAAACUUUAUAAUGAAAUUAUCGGUAUAUGACUUUGAUUCAUAUGACAUAACUUGUAAUAUAUUUAUAAAAUUAUCGUGUAAACUUAUAAUUUGGAAGUCAACUGCAAAAUUGAAGUGAGAAUCUAUUCCACAAAUAAAAACUAGAAAUCAAUAAGACGAUGUAGUCAGGUCUUGAUUUUUUGUUUUUGUUACAAAAAAAAAAGUCCAAACUCUUUCCCAAGUCAUCAGUAGAACUCAUAUAUUUAACAAGUAUGUCAUAUUUAUUUUCUCAUAGUUCAUUUUUCAGAGCAGUUUAUUAAAGAAAAACUGUCUAUAUACUACUAGAAAAUAAUUUUUUCGAACUAGGGACCUGCAAUAAAAAUAAGUUCGAAUAUAUUCCAUGUCUCAGAAGUCAUGAUGAAUAUAAUUUCGUGACAUCCAACAUUAUUUCUCCUAAAAAUUUACUAAUAAUUUUAUCUAAUGUACAUAAUUUUUUGGAGAAUCUUUUCUGGAAUAUAAACAUCGAAGAGGUGGGGUUUAAGUCAAGCCUUCCCAUUUGUUUUUUAUCUAAGAGUCAACACCUUAAUCCACGGCAUUAUUUAAUGAAGGGAGCUUAUUAAUUUAAAAUUCGUGACUUUUCCCCAGGAAGUUAUGGUUGAGCUGGGGCUUAAGUCAAGCCUUCCCAUUUGUUUUUUAUCCAAGAAGUCAAUACAUUAAUCCACGACAUUAUUUAAUGAUGGGAAAUUGAUUUGAUAAUUCUUGACUUUUUCCCAAGGAGUUUUUGUUGAGUUGGAUAGUCUUUUCAGUAGCUUUUCUUUGUUUGAACUUACUUCUUGGCUUAAAAGAAAAUUGUAUUUCAAUUUCUUUGUAAUAUUUACUUAAGUCUUGUU
rnacentral:lncRNA from 1 species